UUUUUAGAAAUAUAAAGAUAUAUUUUUGAUAUGUAAUUUAGGAUUAUGCUUACUCGUAGGUUGCACAAUGUUGUAUCAUGGAAAUUAUCGCCAAGUGACAUUCUAAUAGACAACUCGGAUAUAGCCAGCGAUUCGAAUUCAUUAAUGAAUUCAUUGGACAUUCAUAUGCAACAGUCGAAACAUGAUGAUAGCGGCGAUACCGAUACUGAUGAUUAUGCUGACAGCGAUAAUUAACUAAUUGACAAAUACACUGAUUGACAAACACGAUAUAUAGCUGGAGGAAAAGGAUAAAAAUUGUCGGUUAAUUUUGUUCUUAUUCCGAUUUUCUUCCGUCACAAUCACAGAGUGCUGCAACGUGUCGUACAUCUCAAGAUAGGCAGCUUCCGAUUUUACACAAGUGGAUCUUCCGAGGAUAUCAUUCAAGUAAUUAAUCCUCCAUCAAAGAACUGCCGUUAUCGCCGUGAGAAGAAGACGUCUUCCUCAACGUCUAAACUCUAAAUAACUGUCUUGCACGACAUUCUUAAAAUAAUCCUGCGUACGAACAGGGACAAUUUACAUUUGAAAGGAGUGACGCUUGCAUUGGACUAAUUGGGCAUCGCGCUUCUUCGUAACUAUCUCCAGCUGAUGACCGCUUUGCUAUCAGCGACACAAUAACAUGUCAUCGACGCCAAUGAAAUUGUGUAUAUUUAAUGGCCGAUGAGCCAGUAAGCCAAUAAUCCUCCAGCUGUAUUACUGCGGUAUCACGAUCAAGAAUCUGCAAUAAUAUCAACGCUCGCGUUUGUCAAGAUAAGUCACGCGGAGUAGUUUUGCGGUAGAAACCGCUAAUAAUAUAAUCUUCGCUAGCAAUGGCGCUACCACGAAAAGUGCUGUAUCACAGGAAUGUCUGAAAGUCCGACAAAUAUUUAUUCAUUCCAAUUUUUGCAAUCGUCGAAUAUUAUAUGGCACUCGUAAAUACACAUGGUGAUGCACAUGUGACGGCUGAAGAGAAAUGGAAUUUAGACUGGAAAGAUUUGUUUAGUCUCAACAUUAAAGAUCAAGGACACGGCGAUAUUCGACUGUACUUAUAAAAGUGCAUAAUCAUCCAACAUGGGGUUAAAGUUCCUGGCUCUCCUCGUUGCAUCUUAUUGAAUUUAUUAAAAUUUAUAUCAAAAUUUGUUCCUCAUAUCAGGAUAAAGUGAUUUUUCACGUAUACGAACUCACGCCGCAAAUAUUAUAGUCAAAUUUCAGUUAGGAACAAAUUUUACAAAUUUGCAAUACAGUUGAACCAUAGAUUGGCCAUAGAAACCCAGCAAAAUCUUUGUGUUUGACAAAUUCUAUAUGAUUCCGCAGUUAAUAUAUAUGAUGUUACGUUUGCAAAUUUUGUUAAUGGAACAUAAAUUUAAUAUGAAUGCAGAUGCUGCAAUUUUCGUUCGAAUCUAUCUAUUUGUUGAUAAAUUGUUGACAGUUUGCUUAUUAGAAUAAUGUUAAUGUAGAUUAGUAAAAUGUCUUUUUGCCAGGAGCUUUAAGUAUACUCGCGCGCUAUAUAUAGCGCUAUGUAAUAAUAAGGAUUAUUUGUUUGUUAUAUUUGUUCGCAUUGCUACAAAUAGUCAAGAAAAAUUAAUUCAUCUGUUCCUUCAACUCAAGAUAUUCAUAAGUGUGAAGCAGCUAAAGAUUUUGGCAAGCUUGUACGACUUUCGACUAAAUUUUUAUAUGCUAUGAAAGAAUUAUUUUACAAAAAAAAAAGAAUUGUAGUCGUUUCUCUAUCACAAAACUUAGUUUUCUUUUUUACAUAACUUGUUAAACGCCAUUGAGCAAUGCCAAUCGUAUCUGAUUUUAGUAAAGUUUUUUUUAUCGUAAAAGUUUAAUUUAAUGUCAUAUACAAUAUAUACACACAUAUACGCCGAAAUACAUUAUGCAGCGAAACAACUUCGUUAACUGUCCAAAGAUGUAACCCUCUUUCUUCCUCUUGUAAAAUAUUCUUUUUUUCUAAUAAACAGAGUACAUUAAGAUUCUUUGUUACAAACGCAUUGCAUACUGUUAUACUGUAUCUCUCUAUAGUAUUAUGUUUUUGUCAGAGCUAAAAAAUAUAAAGGACAAUAACGAGUAACGUUUAAUUAUCAACAUUAUGUAGUCAUGUCUUCGAUUACUGUUUUUUAUUCAUUUGAUUUGAUGAUGUAUUAUCGUUUCAAUGAUAUCACGUACUUGUUCGUAAAUUCUUUAAAUUAAUCGUUCGUACGUUAUAUUUUUUAUUUGAAAAACUUUAUACAUGUGUGCAUGUGUAUAUGUGAAUAUACUAUUGACUAUAUGUAUACAGAAGUCAACCUUUUCCUCUGGCAAAGUUGCAUCUCAGCAGUAGUUAUUAAAUGAGAACAAUUUGAAGCUAAUAAGCAUAGGCAGUUGUAUGCAUACACACGUCAAUAUAUAAAAUACAAUCAUAUCAUAUUUAUGUAGUUUUAUUAAAUAUUUAUAAUGAUAUUCUUUUAUCA